AGGUUGCUGGUGAAACUGCAGGAGCUGAAUUAUAAACUGAAAGUGCAGGUCGUAUUUGAUAAAGACGUGAAUGAAAGGAACACAGUAAAAGGGUUUAGAAAAUUUAACAUCUUGGGGACAAAUACCAAAGUGAUGAAUAUGGAGGAGUCGAAUGGAAGUCUGUCAGCAGAAUUCAGA